rnacentral:rRNA from 1 species
UACGAAGGGGGCGAGCGUUGUUCGGAUUUACUGGGCGUAAAGGGCUCGUAGGCGGCCAACUAAGUCAGACGUGAAAUCCCUCGGCUUAACCGGGGAACUGCGUCUGAUACUGGAUGGCUUGAGUUUGGGAGAGGGAUGCGGAAUUCCAGGUGUAGCGGUGAAAUGCGUAGAUAUCUGGAGGAACACCGGUGGCGAAGGCGGCAUCCUGGACCAACACUGACGCUGAGGAGCGAAAGCCAGGGGAGCAAACGGG